UGCUGAGGGGAGGACGGCUCAUAAUGUCUGGAACGAAGUUAAUGGAAUGGCGUCAAACACGCAGUGGUGAAGGUUGACGGCCCAUUGGUGCCCGAACUCGUCGCAUCAAGCACCCCGUCUGCUAUUGGUGCCCUGUUGAAAGCGAUAUAUGUGUGUGUGGAGCGGCCUGGUCAUCUACCACUCUCAGCAGUCCCUGGAGGAGUAGCUCAUUCAGCGCUGGGGCGGAGGAGCGGAGAUCCACACCUGGUCCUUCCUGCCCCACAGUUCAGGACUGGUUAAGAAGAGCCAUGGGUGCCAGUGGUAUUGGCAGUCGUGUGCACGGAGCGAACCGAGAACAGACUCCCUCAUCCACGCUGUCCUCUACCUGGAGCAGAUGCUAACAACUUGUGGCGGUUGGCAGGAGAGUAAAAGGUGGCACGCGUCAAAGCCCGUCUCCCCCUACGGGUGGAAGUCUCCUUCUCUGAGGACUUUCUGCUCUCACUGCAACAGCACCUCCUGCUGGUCUAAAUUGGCAAGACACAGCUGGCACGAAACUUGCUGCAGGUUAGCCAUCCGGCCUUACAACACUUAUUCAAAGCCACACUUAAGAAAGGGGUUAACUAUACCGUUCAUUGGACAGACAAACUUUGUACUUUCCUCCAAAAAAAGGAAUGAGUGACUUUCCACUUCAAUUCAUCCAUCAUUAUGCUCUCUGACUGGGUGUGCCAGAACCUUUUUAGUGCAUUAGUAGUUUAGAGUUAAAAGCAUAGUUUUAGGAUUUAAUGAGGUUCUGAGGUUCCUUUACUAUAUUUAUAGCCAGCAUCCACACUUCCUUCCUGUUUCUACAGUAAUAUUUCUGACCGCUUCCUGUUUACAGUGUACAGUUGUGGUAGUUCCUCUCAGUGCUGCAGGCAUUUUAUUUCACAUGUACAAUGUAUUGACCAUUUACUAGCACAAACGUUUCAAAACUUGUCUCGUCUUAAAAUGGCUUCCAUGUUGUUGGUUUCUUUGACCAUCCGCAAGUUUUGACGCUUAACCUGCCACCCUAUUCUUCAUUUCUAAACCCAAUAGAAGAAUUAUUUUCAGCAUGGCGUGGAAUAUAUACGAUCGCCAACCCCACCAACGCAUACCUCUUCUCCAGGCGAUGGAGGAGGCCUGUGGUGACAUAGACGAGGGGGCAUGCCAGGGCUAGAUACGCAACUUCAGACACUAUUGCCCCCGCUGUUUAGCCAGAGAGAACAUCGCUUGUGAUGUUGAGGUGCUGUGGCCAGACCCGAAUAGGAGACAGGAUGCACCCUAAUUGUUUUUUUCUUUAUAGUUACAAGCCUAUUUGUUUUGUCAGUUACUGUUCAUCCCAAAAUCUGGAUGAAAAUACAAUGUUUUGAGAAAGAAAUACAUUUUAUUUCCCCCCCCUUGCAUUUCUGUUUAGUGUAAAUAUAUGCUGAAUAUGCAUACAUACUGUAUACAUUUGUGCACCUGUGAGUGCUAUGACAAACUGCCGUGGACUCCACUGAACAUGCAAAAGACACAAGAUGGUAGUGUUUUACAUUUGUCACAUCCGUGUGUGGUUGGUGUGUGUAUAAUAGAUAAUCAUUUGAUGGUUUGUGUGUAGAGUUUUGAUGCAAAAACACAAUUUUGAGAAGAGUUAAAAUAGUUUGAAUGAAGUGUUUGGUUUUGAAGAGAUGUGUGACGUUUUGCAGGUUGUGUGUUUUGUGUGUAGCGUCUAGAGAAAAGGAGCCAUAGUUUCAGAAAUCAUGUUUAACCUUUCUGAACCACCCAUCCCGGAUCCGGGAUAAUUGUCAUCAGAAACGCUGACUAGCAUAGCCUAGCCUAGCGCC